UACGGAGGGUGCAAGCGUUAUCCGGAUUCACUGGGUUUAAAGGGUGCGUAGGUGGGCAAGUAAGUCAGUGGUGAAAUCUCCGGGCUUAACCCGGAAACUGCCAUUGAUACUAUUUGUCUUGAAUACUGUGGAGGUCAGCGGAAUAUGUCAUGUAGCGGUGAAAUGCUUAGAUAUGACAUAGAACACCAAUUUCGAAGGCAGCUGGCUACACAAAUAUUGACACUGAGGCACGAAAGCGUGGGGAUCAAACAGG
rnacentral:rRNA from 1 species